CAGCCGCCACGGGAAUACGAGGGGGGCAAGCGUUGUUCGGAAUUAUUGGGCGUAAGGGUGCGUAGGCGGUUCAGCAAGUCUCGUGUGAAAUCUUCGGGCUCAACCCGAAGUCUGCACGGGAAACUACUGGGCUUGAGUAAUGGAGAGGUGAGUGGAAUUUCCGGUGUAGCGGUGAAAUGCGUAGAUAUCGGAAGGAACACCUGUGGCGAAAGUGGCUCACUGGACAUUUACUGACGCUGAUGCACGAAAGCUAGGGGAGCAAACAGGAUUAGAUACCCGUGUAGUCCCUGUCUCUUAUACA
rnacentral:rRNA from 1 species